UACCAGUCACAUCAUCUAUAUAAGCUGCACACGUGGAUUGAGCGCCCAUUUUCUCGUGAACUGCAGUGCGUUGUGUCGAGAACGGUUUGUGGAUCUUAAUGCUGGUAUCAUGAUGUUGGAUGCCCUUGCCUCUCGUUUUUCACCAGAACGGCUUGUGGAUCUUGACGCAGGUGUCAUGAUGUUGGAUGUCAUUGACUCUCAUUUUUCACCAGAUGCAGCAGUAAGGAUGUGACGAUAAUGCAGGGGCGCCUUGGUUCCUGUUUUUCAACAGGCUGGCAUCCUUAGUUGCAAUGAAAGAAGAAUUUUUCAAAGUUGGAGUUGGCAGUUUGACUGGGGGAUGUAGGGUAGCACUGCAGAAACUCUACAAUGUGAAAAGACAUUCAACUCGCAAAGAUACCUUCCCGCGAGGGGUCGACAAACCACAUCAAAGGUGGGGCAGUCAUGGCUGGAAUAUGAGGAUUAAAGAAACCAGUUGACUUUGUACUGUCACCCUUGACUAGUAUCGCAGAAGACAUAGAAUAGCGUUUGAUUGAUUCCUUGAACUGUGCACUCGUAAAUCUGGACAGUCCCCCAAGACGCAGAACAGCAACUGAUUGAAACCAGUUGACUUUGUACCGUCACCCUUGACCAGUAUCACAGAAGACACGGACAAGUGUUUGAUUGAUUCCGUGAACUCUGCACUCAUAAAUCUGGACAAGCAUCACACAGGACAUGGAACAGCAGCUGAUUGGUUGAUGCAAUCUAUCAUGAUUAACCCGCGGGAUCCACCUUACCGAUGUGAUCUCCAUUUGUACAGCUUCUCUAGACAGAGAGUGUGAGGCGGACUUUGCAGAAAUCCUACACGGGAAUUGACGCAGUGGUGAAUGAUUGUCUGAAGCCGAAGUUUGACAUCAGGAGUACACACUUCAACUUGAAGGAAUUCUACAUGCUCAGGAGACUCGAAAGUGGUCAUCUAUAAGCAGCUGGACAUCUUGUUUACUUGGUGUGCUUGAAAUACGAGGAUCUUCCACUGAAGUCUUGA
rnacentral:lncRNA from 1 species